rnacentral:misc_RNA from 1 species
GCCGCUGCCUACGAGUUCAGAUGACAUAAAUUCUGCUGUGGAAGAUAUCAAGCACAUUUCUGAAGCUACGGACCUAGGCAAGAACGAAGGAGAUGAAAUUAUUUCUUCCAAUCCAGAAAGCACGGUGCUAGCAUCCUACAUCAAUGUGAACCCACUCAACACUCAGAUGCCUCCCUCUAAUGUCUUCUCCAGAAAAGAGAUGUCCACAUUUUUCAGAAGUAGGAAGGUUUCACCAGCAGCAUAUUUUACUCAUGAAAGGAAAAGAUUGGAGGUACUUUCUGCUUUAAGAUAUAAGAACAAGAGAGUACCGAAAGCAA